rnacentral:rRNA from 1 species
AUUGAACGCUGGCGGCAGGCCUAACACAUGCAAGUCGAACGAGUAGCGGACGGGUGAGUAAUGUCUGGGAACCUGCCUGAUGGAGGGGGCUAACUACUGGAAACGGUAGCUACUACCGCAUACCAUCAGAUGUGCCCAUGUGGGAUUAGCUUGUGGGUGGGGUAACGGCUCACCAAGGCGACGAUCCCUAGCUGGUCUGAGAGGGUGACCGGCCACACUGGAACUGAGACACGGUCCAGACUCCUACGGUAGGCAGCAUUGGGGAAUAUUGCGCAAUGGGCGCAAGCCUGAGGGAGCAAUGCCGCGUGUGUGAAGAAGGCUUUCGGGUUGUAAAGCACUUUCAGCGGGGAGGCGUUACCCGAAGAAGAAGCACCGGCUAACUCCGUGCCAGCAGCCGCGGUAAUUC